CUUCUUCGAUCUGCUGCGGGCAGAUGAAGUGGAUAUGGGCAUCGAUGCCGCCGGCAGUGACAAUCGAGCCUUCGCCGGCAAUGAUUUCCGUCGCAGCGCCAACCACGAUGUCCACGCCCGCCUGCACGUCCGGAUUGCCGGCCUUGCCAAUCGCGCUGAUGCGCCCGUCCUUGAUGCCGAUGUCCGCCUUGACGAUGCCCCAGUAGUCGACAAUCAACGCAUUGGUCACGACGGUAUCGGCGACGUCAGCCGCCCGGCGCUGACUCUGGCCCAUGCCGUCGCGUAUG
rnacentral:sRNA from 1 species